rnacentral:rRNA from 1 species
UUAAGCGACUAAGCGUACACGGUGGAUGCCCUGGCAGUCAGAGGCGAUGAAGGACGUGCUAAUCUGCGAUAAGCGUCGGUAAGGUGAUAUGAACCGUUAUAACCGGCGAUUUCCGAAUGGGGAAACCCAGUGUGUUUCGACACACUAUCAUUAACUGAAUCCAUAGGUUAAUGAGGCGAACCGGGGGAACUGAAACAUCUAAGUACCCCGAGGAAAAGAAAUCAACCGAGAUUCCCCCAGUAGCGGCGAGCGAACGGGGAGCAGCCCAGAGCCUGAAUCAGUGUGUGUGUUAGUGGAAGCGUCUGGAAAGGCGCGCGAUACAGGGUGACAGCCCCGUACACAAAAAUGCACAUGCUGUGAGCUCGAUGAGUAGGGCGGGACACGUGGUAUCCUGUCUGAAUAUGGGGGGACCAUCCUCCAAGGCUAAAUACUCCUGACUGACCGAUAGUGAACCAGUACCGUGAGGGAAAGGCGAAAAGAACCCCGGCGAGGGGAGUGAAAAAGAACCUGAAACCGUGUACGUACAAGCAGUGGGAGCACGCUUCGGCGUGUGACUGCGUACCUUUUGUAUAAUGGGUCAGCGACUUAUAUUCUGUAGCAAGGUUAACCGAAUAGGGGAGCCGAAGGGAAACCGAGUCUUAACUGGGCGUUAAGUUGCAGGGUAUAGACCCGAAACCCGGUGAUCUAGCCAUGGGCAGGUUGAAGGUUGGGUAACACUAACUGGAGGACCGAACCGACUAAUGUUGAAAAAUUAGCGGAUGACUUGUGGCUGGGGGUGAAAGGCCAAUCAAACCGGGAGAUAGCUGGUUCUCCCCGAAAGCUAUUUAGGUAGCGCCUCGUGAAUUCAUCUCCGGGGGUAGAGCACUGUUUCGGCAAGGGGGUCAUCCCGACUUACCAACCCGAUGCAAACUGCGAAUACCGGAGAAUGUUAUCACGGGAGACACACGGCGGGUGCUAACGUCCGUCGUGAAGAGGGAAACAACCCAGACCGCCAGCUAAGGUCCCAAAGUCAUGGUUAAGUGGGAAACGAUGUGGGAAGGCCCAGACAGCCAGGAUGUUGGCUUAGAAGCAGCCAUCAUUUAAAGAAAGCGUAAUAGCUCACUGGUCGAGUCGGCCUGCGCGGAAGAUGUAACGGGGCUAAACCAUGCACCGAAGCUGCGGCAGCGACGCUUAUGCGUUGUUGGGUAGGGGAGCGUUCUGUAAGCCUGUGAAGGUGUGCUGUGAGGCAUGCUGGAGGUAUCAGAAGUGCGAAUGCUGACAUAAGUAACGAUAAAGCGGGUGAAAAGCCCGCUCGCCGGAAGACCAAGGGUUCCUGUCCAACGUUAAUCGGGGCAGGGUGAGUCGACCCCUAAGGCGAGGCCGAAAGGCGUAGUCGAUGGGAAACAGGUUAAUAUUCCUGUACUUGGUGUUACUGCGAAGGGGGGACGGAGAAGGCUAUGUUGGCCGGGCGACGGUUGUCCCGGUUUAAGCGUGUAGGCUGGUUUUCCAGGCAAAUCCGGAAAAUCAAGGCUGAGGCGUGAUGACGAGGCACUACGGUGCUGAAGCAACAAAUGCCCUGCUUCCAGGAAAAGCCUCUAAGCAUCAGGUAACAUCAAAUCGUACCCCAAACCGACACAGGUGGUCAGGUAGAGAAUACCAAGGCGCUUGAGAGAACUCGGGUGAAGGAACUAGGCAAAAUGGUGCCGUAACUUCGGGAGAAGGCACGCUGAUAUGUAGGUGAGGUCCCUCGCGGAUGGAGCUGAAAUCAGUCGAAGAUACCAGCUGGCUGCAACUGUUUAUUAAAAACACAGCACUGUGCAAACACGAAAGUGGACGUAUACGGUGUGACGCCUGCCCGGUGCCGGAAGGUUAAUUGAUGGGGUUAGCGGUAACGCGAAGCUCUUGAUCGAAGCCCCGGUAAACGGCGGCCGUAACUAUAACGGUCCUAAGGUAGCGAAAUUCCUUGUCGGGUAAGUUCCGACCUGCACGAAUGGCGUAAUGAUGGCCAGGCUGUCUCCACCCGAGACUCAGUGAAAUUGAACUCGCUGUGAAGAUGCAGUGUACCCGCGGCAAGACGGAAAGACCCCGUGAACCUUUACUAUAGCUUGACACUGAACAUUGAGCCUUGAUGUGUAGGAUAGGUGGGAGGCUUUGAAGUGUGGACGCCAGUCUGCAUGGAGCCGACCUUGAAAUACCACCCUUUAAUGUUUGAUGUUCUAACGUUGACCCGUAAUCCGGGUUGCGGACAGUGUCUGGUGGGUAGUUUGACUGGGGCGGUCUCCUCCUAAAGAGUAACGGAGGAGCACGAAGGUUGGCUAAUCCUGGUCGGACAUCAGGAGGUUAGUGCAAUGGCAUAAGCCAGCUUGACUGCGAGCGUGACGGCGCGAGCAGGUGCGAAAGCAGGUCAUAGUGAUCCGGUGGUUCUGAAUGGAAGGGCCAUCGCUCAACGGAUAAAAGGUACUCCGGGGAUAACAGGCUGAUACCGCCCAAGAGUUCAUAUCGACGGCGGUGUUUGGCACCUCGAUGUCGGCUCAUCACAUCCUGGGGCUGAAGUAGGUCCCAAGGGUAUGGCUGUUCGCCAUUUAAAGUGGUACGCGAGCUGGGUUUAGAACGUCGUGAGACAGUUCGGUCCCUAUCUGCCGUGGGCGCUGGAGAACUGAGGGGGGCUGCUCCUAGUACGAGAGGACCGGAGUGGACGCAUCACUGGUGUUCGGGUUGUCAUGCCAAUGGCACUGCCCGGUAGCUAAAUGCGGAAGAGAUAAGUGCUGAAAGCAUCUAAGCACGAAACUUGCCCCGAGAUGAGUUCUCCCUGACUCCUUGAGAGUCCUGAAGGAACGUUGAAGACGACGACGUUGAUAGGCCGGGUGUGUAAGCGCAGCGAUGCGUUGAGCUAACCGGUACUAAUGAACCGUGAGGCUUAACCU